AUUGAACGCUGGCGGCAGGCCUAACACAUGCAAGUCGAACGGUAACAGGAAGAAGCUUGCUUCUUUGCUGACGAGUGGCGGACGGGUGAGUAAUGUCUGGGAAACUGCCUGAUGGAGGGGGAUAACUACUGGAAACGGUAGCUAAUACCGCAUAACGUCGCAAGACCAAAGAGGGGGACCUUCGGGCCUCUUGCCAUCGGAUGUGCCCAGAUGGGAUUAGCUAGUAGGUGGGGUAACGGCUCACCUAGGCGACGAUCCCUAGCUGGUCUGAGAGGAUGACCAGCCACACUGGAACUGAGACACGGUCCAGACUCCUACGGGAGGCAGCAGUGGGGAAUAUUGCACAAUGGGCGCAAGCCUGAUGCAGCCAUGCCGCGUGUAUGAAGAAGGCCUUCGGGUUGUAAAGUACUUUCAGCGGGGAGGAAGGGAGUAAAGUUAAUACCUGCUCAUUGACGUUACCCGCAGAAGAAGCACCGGCUAACUCCGUG
rnacentral:rRNA from 1 species